CCUACGGGCGGCUGCAGUGGGGAAUAUUGGACAAUGGGCGAAAGCCUGAUCCAGCCAUGCCGCGUGUGUGAAGAAGGCCUUCGGGUUGUAAAGCACUUUCAGUGGGGAAGAAAGCCUUGGGGCUAAUACCCUCGAGGAAGGACAUCACCCACAGAAGAAGCACCGGCUAACUCCGUGCCAGCAGCCGCGGUAAUACGGAGGGUGCGAGCGUUAAUCGGAAUUACUGGGCGUAAAGCGCGCGUAGGCGGUCUGAUAAGCCGGUUGUGAAAGCUCCGGGCUCAACCUGGGAACGGCAUCCGGAACUGUCAGGCUAGAGUGCAGGAGAGGAAGGUAGAAUUCCCGGUGUAGCGGUGAAAUGCGUAGAGAUCGGGAGGAAUACCAGUGGCGAAGGCGGCCUUCUGGACUGACACUGACGCUGAGGUGCGAAAGCGUGGGUAGCAAACAGGAUUAGAUACCCGGGUAGUC
rnacentral:rRNA from 1 species